rnacentral:misc_RNA from 1 species
UGACCGAUCAUCAAUUACCAUUGCCAUCUUUGGAUGGCACAUGCCAUCUUGGAAGACAUUAGACAAAGAUUUCCUGGAGCCUGAUCUAACACAAACAACACGGUCCGGCAGUUGUUUAGCAGAUAUCAGGUGUGACUCUGGGUCAAGAAGCCUCCACAUUUCUAAGGCAUAAUCUCUUUCAGCCAUUGUACAAACAUAAACUUCAAAUCGUUUGCGUCCUUUUGCAGUUAAAUAACUUCGUAAAUCCUCCCAUGCAGGCCUCAACCUCACAAGUACACUAGUAUCACGAAUCUCAGGAUUGA